rnacentral:lncRNA from 1 species
AAUAUGAGAACGGGCUCUGCAGGCAGGGUCUGCGGAGAUGCCACCGUCAGUGCGGCACUGCGGGGAACUGACCUCAGCGGGCGUGGUGCAAAUGAAUCCCGAAUUCCACUUAGUCAACCGAAUAGGGGUUUCUUCUUUUGCCUCAUGGCCUUAUAACAGUCCCCCAAAGUUCAGCAAAUAGGAUGCGUCUGCCCCUCUAGGCUGUUCAUUCCUCACCAUAUAUUGUGUGGAUCCAUAUGGCAUAAAUGAUUUAAAUACCGCUGCAUACAAAAUACACAUUAGAAUUUAUUUCUGAAAUCAAGAUUCCAUUACCAGUGAUGGAAGUUAUUGUUCACAAAUGGGAGAUGCCUGUGCACGGCUACUGCUGAAACCUGACCGCGGAAAAGAUAAACUAUAAACCGGUGUAUUUGCUCGGGGUCGAGCUCAUUCACAGACUUAUUCAAAUCAGGUCCGUGGGGUUUCUUCUUGCCAGCUCUCCAUCCUGGAUUCCUCUGCAGUCCCUUCCUUCAGGUGACAGGAUGGAGCAAGUUCCAUUACGUUCCAUCUCGGCUUAAUCCCUUGCUGUGACGAGAAGUGGAAAAUGCAAUUAAAUGCACUUCUGAAACUCCCCCGUCCGAGUGCUGUUUACAGCGUGGCCUGCAUUAAGCAGGCUGAGCAGGGCCACUCCUUUUGCAUCUGGUGGCUUUCCGCAGCUUUGGGAAAGCUGUUUGUAAAUUAAAGCAUUCAGUCAGCCGCUCUGAGAAUCAAUCCCAGUUUGUUAUAAAAGAAUAUGGUUGAAAUCAACAUUCGUGUGGGUUGUGUUUGGAGUGGGGUUUCAGAGGGGAAGGGCUGGCGGGACGAUCCCUGGAGCCUGAACGUGGGAUCCAUCUGGUUCACCAAAUGGCAGAGGAAUUUCAAUAUUAACAGACCUUAAAUUUACCUUAAAAUAGGAUUCUGAGCCAAGCGGGACUUUUCCUCCCUCACCUUAAAUGUUCAUCCAUUAUUUAGAUAAGCAGAAGCUGCCGUGCAAAGCUGCUCAUUUCUUUCCAAGGUGCCACUUUCUUGCCUCACCAUAGUUCCUUUGCUUCUCUCCUAGGGAAGGAUAUUAAGUGACAGGUGACUCAGAGCCGGGGUGAGAUGAAACCUGUUCUUGGGUCCACCUAGGGUUUAGUGGGUGGCCGUGACCAGGACAGGGAGCCUCCUGGUGAUGCUGUUUUUGCCUACAUGUCAUCAGCUUGAAGAGGUCGCCAUGCUUCCUGCAUAAAGUAGCCUUACUCUGUCUCUGACUGGUUGCGGAUCUGAUAUGGCAAAGCACCCAGCAAACAUUUCUUCAGGGGCUCCGUUGAGGCUCAGUGGCUGUGGCUGUGGCAGAGGCUGCAGCUUCAGCUCCAACUGUACCCCUAGCCUGGGAACUUCUGUGUGCUGUGUAUGCAGCCAUAAAGCAACAACAACAACAACAACACAUUUCUUCAGCACAUUUCCUCAAACGGUGGCCAGUUUUCACACCACCUCCUCCUCUUGAAUCUUCCUUCCUCUCUCACAAACACUAAGAGCGUUCAGUAAGCAGCAGCGACACGGGUGUUGAGAGGCUGAUGUGAACCACGCAUGGUGCUAAGGGCUCUGGAUCAAAAGGGGCAUCGUAAAAGGACAUCGCAUGGGUCCCCGUCUUCCCCAGACCCUCUCGUCAGGGGACCGUCUGGGCUUCCACAAAAAGCUUUAACCCCACACUUCACCCAAACCGCCCAAGGCAACCUGUGUGUCAGAAUUCCCAGAUCUGCCAGCCCCCGGGGGUCUUACUGUUUGGUGCGGUUUAUAAACCCAUGUGCUCACCCAUCACAGGGAGCUCCUCACCCCCACCACGAUGGACCCGUCUCUGAGACGUCUGCCCCCUGCCCCCCACCCCGAACUCCUUCCACUUUUAUUGUGGGCAUAAAAUCACGCAGCUGCUGAGGGUAGAAUGAAGUCCCCAGGAAGCACUGCAAAGCAUAUUUUUUUGCCAAGUGGACAUGAUAAGGGUUUUAUUAUUAUUAUUAUUAUUAUUAUCAUCAGCACAAAUGGUCAAACAUUGCCAAACUCUCCUCAUUUCUUCAAUUGUCUUUAUAACUAGGCUUGGAUUGUUUUCAGUCCUGCUCUCUUUUUCUUUGUUGGGAUUAAGGUCUUAACAUGACUCUAAGCCCCUAGAGCUGGUGCCGUGUGGCCGUCCCAGUGUCUUCAUCCCUCUAUUGUCUGUGUGACCUCUCCCUGCAUUCUGAGGUGAGGUGCUGGAUGCCCUCCUGUGUCCCACCUGUCCCUGGCAUGCUGCAUGCACAGUGUCUGGGGGUGCCUCUCAACAAGAGGGCAACUCUGUGCGUAGAAACACUUGCCGGCAGCAACCGGGGUGGACUUCUGGUCAACCCCUCCAGGCCUACUCUACUUGUUAGCCAUGUUCUGCAUCAUCCUCACCUCUUAGGUCUCACAUCUUUCCUGCACCCCAGCACUGGGGCCCCCACAUCCCAGCCUGACCCCAAAUGCAUCCCUCCCCAGUCAUAGCAAUGGAUCUCCUGCCCCAGAGAAGAAGCUUCUAAUACUGUUAGAAAGACUAUGAUAUAUCUGGCAAUGUAUAAGGCAUAAUGAGAGCAAAUGAUGUUCAUUGCAUUGCUACAAACAAAAAAAGAGAAGAAGAAAAAACAGGAAACUUGUAGGAGAUCAGAGGAAAGGGUUUUAGGGUGGGCUGAGGAAGAACACAAAGGAGACAGAGGGAGCUAGUAUGCAGGAACAAAGACUAAAAUUGAAAUGCAAAGAUGGGAAAUGUGAAUACUUUAUGGAACCAUAGGGUUCAUUUAAUAUGAUAGCAGCCUGUCUUUAGAGACCUCACUGAACUCAGGUGCAUAUGAGAGGCUGAAUAGAGGGACUGGGAUAGUAGUCCCAUCUCUGGCGUGGAGGGUGUAUGACUUUAGACUGUAGUCCCAUCUCUGGCGUGGAGGGUGUAUGACUUUAGACUGUAGUCCCAUCUCUGGCGUGGAGGGUGUAUGACUUUAGACUGUAGUCCCAUCUCUGGCGUGGAGGGUGUAUGACUUUAGACUGUAGUCCCAUCUCUGGCGUGGAGGGUGUAUGACUUUAGACUGUAGUCCCAUCUCUGGCGUGGAGGGUGUAUGACUUUAGACACAUUAGUCACCUUCCACUGACCUCAUUUAAUGCCCGUGUUAGGCGCUAGGGCGUGUGGAGGCUGGUGGCCAGUAGAGCUUUCUGUGAUGAAACACAUAAGGAGGUGACUCUGCGGCAUGUCCUAAUGAGCGACUCCUUAAGCGUUUGGAAGCGAAGAUGAUUUUGUGGACUUAGGAAAAAUGAUGAGGAGGGCAUGGCAUGAGGAGCCGAAGGGCGGACGGACGUGUGAAAAUUAGGAAGUUAGUUGAAGGAGCUGCGUAACUAUGACGUGGACCAGUGCGGUGAGUAUAGGAUGAAGCAGAAGAACAGAGUGUGAAGGAAGGAAAGCAACGUCCAGAAUGUCCUCGAGGUCAGAUACGGAAGCAGUACAUGGAGUGAUAUGGCUUCCAGUUGAGUUUCAGCAAGAAUGACGGUGCUGUCUUUCAAAACAAAGAAAUCUGAAAUAGGAGCAAGGAGUUCCCAUCAGGACUCAGCGGUAAGGAACCUGACUAGUAUCCAUGAGGUCACGGGUCCCAUCCCUGGCCUUGCUCAGUGGGUUAAGGAUCUGGUGUUGCUGUGGCUGUGGUGUAGGCUGGCAUCUCCAGCUCUGAUUCGACCCCUACCCUGGGAAUUUCCAUAUGCUGCAGCUGAGGCCC